UACGAAGGAGGCUAGCGUUGUUCGGAAUUACUGGGCGUAAAGCACACGUAGGCGGAUUAGUAAGUCAGGGGUGAAAUCCCGGGGCUCAACCUCGGAACUGCCUUUGAUACUGCUGAUCUCGAGUCCGGAAGAGGUGAGUGGAAUUCCUAGUGUAGAGGUGAAAUUCGUAGAUAUUAGGAAGAACACCAGUGGCGAAGGCGGCUCACUGGUCCGGUACUGACGUUGAGGUGCGAAAGCGUGGGGAGCAAACAGG
rnacentral:rRNA from 1 species